rnacentral:misc_RNA from 1 species
CGCCAACCCGUGAAGGCGAGAAAGUGUCGACACGGAGUUCAAUACAACGUGCAUGUUAACUUUGGUAACUUGAGGUCUCUUUUCCACAGGCGCGGCGGUCUGUGUGGAUGACGCCUACCUAGAAGGAUGCCCCGCUUAUCGUCUCGCAGGAAUUGGCUUUCCCAUUGAGGACAAAAACCGAUCAUUUUCCUUCAGAGCAGAAAGGAUCUCCAAUGUCACAAUUUGGCUCCCUAGGCGUAAAUUCACGAAUCCAGCGGAGAUCAAGUGGUUUCAAAUCAAGGCUUGGAAAAAGGAGUCGAAGUUCUGUGCUGCUGUUCCUGGACUAAGCGAAGAGGAGUGUCAUGAAGAUCGACGCCGUGUUCUUGUAAAAUCGGAUUCUCCUCUUUGGUUCAAGAUGGACUGUGUUAAUGCUUCCCACAGCUGUCGCUUCCAUCGUCUCGACUAUGUCCGUCUUCGUCCUGGUGCAAGCGAUGGCGUGGUGGCCUGGAAGCCUGGGGAACAAACACGCGAAUUUUUUGUAGCCGUUUUCCGUCUCCCUUCCAAGAGAAGGAGUCAAUCAAAACGCUUACCUCUGAAACCAACAUCAAGAGUCAUUGGACCGCGUUCUCAUUAUAACAUCACAGUCCGCCGUGAUCAUGGUGGAAUCCCGUGUGGCGUCUACAGUCUUCAGUUGAACCUGAAUAUCACGUGUGAAAAUGACCUCGACGACGGCGAUUACUUGCUCAUCGGCAGUCAGGUGAACAGAAUCUGGACUCCGAGUUACUUCGACCUGUCCGCUCUGAGCAAUGAGGAUGUGCUGCAAGAAAGUGGUCCGCAGGAAGACGCCACCCCUGUCUUGACGAACACAAGCACCAUCUGGACUGCCGAUGAAAAUAACCUUCUUCUGUUUUGUCUGGCCAUAUUGUUCGUCCUUGUUGCCGCAGCCAACGUGACAUCCAAAAGUGUGCUGACUUUCACCUGGUUUAUGAAGUCCAAUACUUGUAAUGAUAGAGGGGGGAGGCUGAGAGGAAGGCCAUUUAGCCUCGACUCCGAGACCUGACCCAGUCUAGCGCCAUCCUCAGCAGGGCCUGCAAGGACGUGGAUGAGGAAAGAACUUUGCCUUCGAUCAGCAGAGUCGAUUUCCUGAUGGGACGUGAAUGAGAACAGGACUUGCAUUGUUGCAGAAUGCAGUGCCUUCAUCCCCGCAACAGUAUACACAGUAUAUUGCAUGGAACAGUGCUUACAUCUUCACGAAGCGUUAUAGUUAGGGCUGACAAACGCUGCAAUGGAAAAAACAUUCAACAGACACUUUAUAACAUAUAUAACAGAAAAAAAAUAUUAGAUAUAUUUAUAAACACACAACCGCACACAUACACAUCCACACACACAAACACACACACACACACACACACAAACACACACGCACACACA